UACGAGUGGCCCGAGUGUUAAUCGGAGUCACUGGGCUUAAAGGGUGCGCGGGCGGCCCGGCGGGCAUCUCGUGAAAUCCCCCGGCUCAACCGGGGAACUGCGGGGUGAACCGCCGGGCUUGAGGCAGGUAGGGGCUGACGGAACCAUGAGUGGAGCGGUGAAAUGCGUAGAUAUUCAUGGGAACGCCGAUGGGGAAGCCGGUCAGCUGGGCCUGUCCUGACGCUCAGGCACGAAAGCGUGGGGAGCAAACAGG
rnacentral:rRNA from 1 species